rnacentral:misc_RNA from 1 species
UACGGGACGCAGCAGUGGGGGAAUUUUGGACAAUGGGGAAACUCCUGAUCCAGCCAUCCCGCGUGUGCGAUGAAGGCCGGGCUGUAAAGCACUUUUGGCAGGAAAGAAACGGCACGACACACCGCGCAACUGAUUUGCACUGCAGAAUAAGCACCACAACUAUGCCAGCAGCCGCGGUAAUACGUAGGGUGCAAGCGUUAAUCGGAAUUACUGGGCGUAAAGCGUGCGCAGGCGGUUCGGAAAGAAAGAUGUGAAAUCCCAGAGCUUAACUUUGGAACUGCAUUUUUAACUACCGAGCUAGAGUGUGUCAGAGGGAGGUGGAAUUCCGCGUGUAGCAGUGAAAUGCGUAGAUAUGCGGAGGAACACCGAUGGCGAAGGCAGCCUCCUGGGAUAAGACGCUCAUGCACGGAAAGUGGGGAGCAAACAGGAUUAGAUAAUUCGUGUAGU